UACGUAGGGUGCGAGCGUUGUCCGGAAUUAUUGGGCGUAAAGAGCUCGUAGGCGGUUUGUUGCGUCUAUCGUGAAAACCUGCAGCUUAACUGUGGGCUUGCGGUGGAUACGGGCAGACUUGAGUUCGGUAGGGGAGACUGGAAUUCCAGGUGUAGCGGUGAAAUGCGUAGAUAUCUGGAGGAACACCGGUGGCGAAGGCGGCAUCCUGGACCAAUAUUGACGCUGAGGAGCGAAAGCCAGGGGAGCAAAGCGGG
rnacentral:rRNA from 1 species